rnacentral:rRNA from 1 species
UACGUAGGGUGCAAGCGUUAAUCGGAAUUACUGGGCGUAAAGCGUGCGUAGGUGGUUCGUUAAGUCUGAUGUGAAAGCCCUGGGCUCAACCUGGGAAUGGCAUUGGAAACUGGCGACCUAGAGUGCGGUAGAGGGUAGUGGAAUUCCCGGUGUAGCAGUGAAAUGCGUAGAGAUCGGGAGGAACAUCCGUGGCGAAGGCGACUACCUGGACCAGCACUGACACUGGGGCACGAAAGCGUGGGGAGCAAACAGG